CGCCUUGCCAGCCCGCUACAGAAACUUAAAUGAAUUGACGGGGGCCCGCACAAGCGGUGGAGCAUGUGGUUUAAUUCGAUGAUACGCGAGGAACCUUACCUGGGCUCAAAUGUAUGUUGACGUAUUCUGAAAGGGAUACUUCUUCGGACAAUAUACAAGGUGCUGCAUGGUUGUCGUCAGCUCGUGCCGUGAGGUGUCGGGUUAAGUCCCAUAACGAGCGCAACCCCUACCUUUAGUUGCCAUCAGGUAAUGCUGGGGACUCUAAAGGAACUGCCUACGCAAGUAGUGAGGAAGGCGGGGAUGACGUCAAAUCAGCACGGCCCUUACGUCCAGGGCUACACACGUGCUACAAUGGCCGAUACAGAGGGCAGCUACCUGGUGACAGGAUGCAAAUCUCCAAAGUCGGUCUCAGUUCGGAUCGGAGUCUGCAACCCGACUCCGUGAAGUUGGAUUCGCUAGUAAUCGCGCAUCAGCCAUGGCGCGGUGAAUACGUUCCCGGGCCUU
rnacentral:rRNA from 1 species